AGGGUGAGACCUGAUGCCGAGCCGAUUGUGGUGAAGUGGAUGAUCCUAUGCUGUCGAGAAAAGCCUCUAGCGAGUUUCAUGGCGGCCCGUACCCUAAACCGACUCAGGUGGUCAGGUAGAGAAUACCGAGGCGUUCGGGUGAACUAUGGUUAAGGAACUCGGCAAAAUGCCCCCGUAACUUCGGGAGAAGGGGGGCCAUUGCUGGUGAUCACCCUUGCGGUGUGAGCUGGUGGUGGCCGCAGAGACCAGCGAGAAGCGACUGUUUACUAAAAACACAGGUCCGUGCGAAGCCGUAAGGCGAUGUAUACGGACUGACGCCUGCCCGGUGCUGGAACGUUAAGGGGACCGGUUAGU
rnacentral:rRNA from 1 species